rnacentral:rRNA from 1 species
UGGGGAAUAUUGCACAAUGGGGGAAACCCUGAUGCAGCCAUACCGCAUGUAUGAAGAAGGCCUUAGGGUUGUAAAGUACUUUCAGCGAGGAGGAAAGGCAGUAGAUUAAUACACUACUGCUGUGACGUUACUCGCAGAAGAAGCACCGGCUAACUCCGUGCCAGCAGCCGCGGUAAUACGGAGGGUGCAAGCGUUAAUCGGAAUUACUGGGCGUAAAGCGCAUGCAGGCGGUUUGUUAAGCGAGAUGUGAAAGCCCCGGGCUCAACCUGGGAACUGCAUUUCGAACUGGCAAACUAGAGUUCUUGAGAGGGUGGUAGGACUUCAGGUGUAGCGGUGAAAUGCGUAGAGAUCUGAAGGAAUACCAGUGGCGAAGGCGGCCACCUGGCAAGUAACUGACGCUCAGAUGCGAAAGCGUGGGUAGCAAACGGG